rnacentral:rRNA from 1 species
AACCCCUGCAUUCAGUUGCCAUCGGGUAAUGCCGGGCACUCUGGAAGGACUGCCAUCGACAAGAUGGAGGAAGGUGGGGAUGACGUCAAGUCAUCAUGGCCCUUAUGUCCAGGGCGACACACGUGCUACAAUGGCCGGCACAACGGGAAGCGAGUUCGCGAGGACGAGCGGAUCCCUCAAAGCCGGUCGCAGUUCGGAUUGAAGUCUGCAACUCGACUUCAUGAAGCUGGAAUCGCUAGUAAUCGUGGAUCAGCUAAGCCGCGGUGAAUACGUUCCCGGGCCUU